rnacentral:rRNA from 1 species
CCGGGCGCACGGGUGAGUAACGCGUAUGCAACUUACCUAUCAGGAGGGGAGAACCCGGCGAAAGUCGGACUAAUACCGCAUGAAGCAGGGGCCCCGCAUGGGGGUUAUUUGCUAAAGAUUCAUCGCUGAUAGAUAGGCAUGCGUUCCAUUAGGCAGUUGGCGGGGUAACGGCCCACCAAACCGACGAUGGAUAGGGGUUCUGAGAGGAAGGUCCCCCACAUUGGAACUGAGACACGGUCCAA